UACGAGUGGAGCGAGCGUUGUUCGGAAUCACUGGGCGUAAAGCGUGCGCAGGCGGUUAUACAAGUCAGGAGUGAAAUCCCAGGGCUUAACCCUGGAAUUGCUCUUGAAACUGUAUGACUAGAAUCCCGGAGAGGUUGGCGGAAUUCUCAGUGUAGAGGUGAAAUUCGCAGAUAUUGAGAGGAACACCAGUGGCGUAAGCGGCCAACUGGACGGGUAUUGACGCUCAGGCACGAAAGCGUGGGGAUCAAACAGG
rnacentral:rRNA from 1 species